ensembl:lncRNA
UUUCUACAUUUAUGAAACAACUAAUAGCCCAUGGGGAAUGCAACAGCUUUCAAUACAUUUCACUUCAAUUGUUUCAAAGCAGCGUAGGUACAAUACCACAUAGAGGACUGCUCCGGCCACUACCCAGGUCUGUGCUUCGGCUGAACUGGCUGGAUGGUGGGCGGCUAAAGUCUGAGAGAGAACCCUCACAGACACUAGGGAUUGGAGAAACUGAGGGGUCUAUGUCCUCAGGACCAGAAUUGGGCUCCUGGUCUGGCCUUGGAGGGCGGAAGGCCCCUGAGGAAGCCGAAGUGCCAGAUCGGAAGCAUCGUGUCCUGGGUGACAGUAGUGGGAGAUCGGAGGCACCGUGUCCUGGGUGACAGUAGUGGGAGAUCGGAGGCAUCGUGUCCUGGGUGACAGUAGUGGGAGAUCGGAGGCAUCGUGUCCUGGGUGACAGUAGUGGGAGAUCGGAGGCAUCGUGUCCUGGGUGACAGUAGUGGGAGAUCGGAGGCAUCGUGUCCUGGGUGACAGUAGUGGGAGAUCAGAAGCAUCGUGUCCUGGGUGACAGUAGUGGGAGAUCGGAGGCAUCGUGUCCUGGGUGACAGUAGUGGGAGAUCGGAAGCAUCGGGAUAGUGGCGGACCACUGGUUCAACAGCCUGUCUGCUUGGCCUCUCCAAUGGGCCUGUUUGGACUGGGACGGCCCAUAAAGUUCAGUGUGGAGUUGAAUUGUCACUGUCAGACAGGAGCUGUUGACCGUUACUCGUUACACCCUGAUGAUUUAUCAGGUAUUUCCAGUGCAUAGAGAGGAGAGAUAAUGAGAGCAGGGUGAUGCCGGGCUGAUAAACUUGGUCAAUACAGAAGUGCUGAAGGCAGUUGAAGAUGUAAAUGAGGCUGUAAGGACCAGCGAAUGUCUUUGUCCCUCCUUUUCACUUGUUUGUUUAACCAGAGGCCAAGACAGGAAGCCAGCCCACACAACUCUGCUGUCCCCAUGGCAACCCCACUGUUAAUUGUGGCACAACUACUCACAGAGCUCUUUAGAGAGUAGGGGAGAGGUGGGGACAAGCAUGUGUGUGUGUGUGUGUGUGUGUGUGUGUGUGUGUGUGUGUGUGUGUGUGUGUGUGUGUGUGUGUGUGUGUGUGUGUGUGUGUGUGUGUGUGUGUGUGUGUGUGUGUGUGUGUGUGUGUGUGUGUGUGUGUGUGUGUGUGUGUGUGUGUGUGUGUGUGUGUGUGCGUGUGUGUGUGUGCGUGCGUAAGUGUGUGUUUGCGGGUGUGUUUUAUGCAUGCCUGUGUGUAUGAGUGAAUUUUUGUGUGUAAUGUAACAGUGCACCUUAUACAGAUUGUGGUUGUAUUACUCUACAUAGCUGUACAUGUGCUGUGUAUAGUUAGAGUUGUAUUUUGGCACUCACUGUGUAGUGGUAGAGUCCUCGAUCCCACAAGAUGGCCUUACUGACAAAGGACAGAUAACAAGGUGCCUGGGAAACAGACAGGACAACAGACAUCAGUGAGCACAACACACAACAAGGCAUACAAAAUCAUCUCAGGCCAUUCUUAAACCUGUCAGAAAGGAACAUUCAACAUCAAAUCAUCUCAGGCCAUUCUUAAACCUGUCAGAAAGGAACAUUCAACAUCAAAUCCUUUCAGGUCAUUUCUCAAUUGUAAAGAGUUCAGAAAAAGUACAGAAACACUAUUGUAGACCAAGACAAAUGUAUCAACUUUAGAUGAACUAAUGCUGAUGGAGAGAGUGUUGAGGCUGGCUGGCUGGCUGGCUGGCUGGCUGGCUGGCGAAAGAAAGAAAGAAAGACAGAUAGACAGAUAGACAGAUAGACAGAUAGACAGACAGACAGACAGAAACCCCUCCUGGUGCAUCAAUUUCCCCUCUGUCUCUAUAAUGAGCUGGUCUGUACCACUAUUCCACUACUCCAGUCUCCAGCAGUCAAGCUAUACUGUAGCACAGACUGGACACUUCAUCAUAGUGAAAGCCAAUUGUAAUGUCUCCAUUCAAACACAUUUUUGUUCUAUCUGUUCAGUUAUCAGACUGAUUUUGGUUUGACACUUUUUGGUCCAUGUGUGACUUAACAGCCCUUCUUUUACCAGCUCGGCUCCA